rnacentral:rRNA from 1 species
UACGUAGGGUCCGAGCGUUGUCCGGAGUUAUUGGGCGUAAAGAGCUUGUAGGCGGUCUGUCGCGUCUGCUGUGAAAAUCCGGGGCUCAACCCCGGACUUGCAGUGGGUACGGGCAGACUAGAGUGUGGUAGGGGAGACUGGAAUUCCUGGUGUAGCGGUGAAAUGCGCAGAUAUCAGGAGGAACACCGAUGGCGAAGGCGGGUCUCUGGGCCGUAACUGACGCUGAGGAGCGAAAGCAUGGGGAGCGAACAGG